rnacentral:tRNA from 1 species
GACUUCGUGGCGCAAUGGUAGCUGGUCUGACUCCAGAUCAGAAGGUUGCGUGUUCAAAUCACGUCGGGGUCA